ensembl:lncRNA
AGCAUCUCUGAAUAUCCAGCUCACAUCUCAGAUGAAGUUUUGAGCCCACUGGCCAAAGAUGGCUUGAAACCAAGCCACAGAACAGGCUGGCCACUGCCCAUCAGUGUAAGGUGCAACUAAAUUACUGUGCUAAGGGCACUUUCGGGCACACUCAGUGCAAUUUGCCCAGGGAUAUGCCUAAGUUUGGUCAGUGCCUGAAGUUUCUACCAGAGGUCCCCCAGAUUGGAAAGUCUCUAUUGACAAAGUUUCAGCACCAAGAUAUUAUCCAAAAUUCAGAGGAGGAAAAGGGCCCUGGAGCUCCUGGAGACCUGGGCCUCAGGAUCUUUGAGCGUUGCAUCCAGCUCAGGAGUUACACGAAGCAACCCAAGCUCCACCAAGCAACUCUGAAUUAUGGAAUGGAAAUUUAUCAAAGGUCACUUGGAAGUGGGAAUUGCAAACUUUUUACUGGAAAAACAAAAAAUAAGAAUACCCUUUUGAUCUUGUUGUUGAUGUUAAUUUGUUUUUAUUUUUCCCCCCUCAAUGUUUUUGUCUGAAAUGACAAGUUCUUUAAUCACCUCCUCCUAAGAUACAUUUUGAAUUUAUUUGUGUCCGCCUUUUCCCAUGAAAGGUAAAGAUUUCCCAGAAGAUUACUUCACACAGUGUGCAUACCCACAAAUGUCCUUCUCCUCCAUCAUCUCCAAGAAGGGACCACUUGUCCUAUACACUGCAAAGAAAGAUUAUUAUUUUUACUUGAUUGUUAAUUAAUUUAAUAUUUAAUACCAUACCUUGGUGGGGAAGAGGCUAACAAAACCUUGCCAGACUACAUGCGGUGGGCUGUAUUAGGAGUCUGUGUGAGUGGCCACAUCUCACACUGCGGAGCAGUUGUUGGAGGGAGGCACUGCCCUCAGUAGUACAGCAGCACCAGCAUUUUCUGGUUGCAUACUGAGUAG